AUUGUAAUGCAUUCUGCUGCCAUAAAUAAAUAAAUAAAUAAAUAAAUAAAUAAAUAAAUCUCAUGAACACACACACACACAAAUACACACAAAGAAGAAGAAGAAGAUUAGGGGAUGGGCCACAAGCCAAUGAAUGUGGAGAACCUACAAAUGUUAGAAGAGACGAGGAAAAACAUUCUCCCUCAGAGCUUAAAGAAAUGCAGCCCUACAGGCACCUUGAUAUGCCCAGUGAUAACCAUUUCAGACUCUGGAACCAUAAGGUAAUAAGGUUUUAUUGUGUGUUAAGCUACUGAAUUUGUUACAGCAAAUUACCACAGGAAACUGAAACAACAGUAGUUGGUUAAUCUCACCAAAUACUCAGUUGGGUUAGCUUAGUAUUUAAACCCCUAGCUCAGAAUUCUAGUAUUUAUAUUUCAAUGUUUGGGACUAAAUGUAUAAAUGUUGCUUUCAAAAAUAUUUAGGAAGCUUAAAGAGUGAAUAUGGUCAUAGCAUCAAAAUUAAGCAUAUUGAUUCUAAAAUAGAAGGUGAUUCUUAAUGAAGAAUCUUUAUUCAUCUGUUCAUUCUUUUAUUCAUGCAUUUUUUAUUUAUAUAACCACAGAGUCCUACUAUGGGUUAUUUCCUGUGUUAGCCUUUGGGAAGUUAGAUAUACUACAUUCUUUCUCCUUUGAGGUAGUAGCUAUAGGAUAACAGAGAUUAAAACUCCAAAUUCUAGGUGUACAUGUUCAGGGUUAAUUUUAGCUCUAUCACUUAUCAGCUGUUUGGUCUUUGGCAACUGAAGUAACCUCUUUGACCCUCAGUUUCUUCAUAUAAAAUGAGGUUAAUAAUUGUGCCUACCUCAUAGAAGUGCUAUGGAGAUUAAGUUAAUAAAUGAAGAACCCAUACAAUGGUUCCUGGGAUGGAAACAUUCUGCAAGGAUUUGCUUGUUAUUAUUACACACCAAGAGCUGAUGAAUCUUGAGUCAUGCAGAUUAGGCACAAGUUCUGAAUCCCAGGUUUCUUAUCAUCAACAAAGGGGGUUUGGCAACAGGAGCCCACCAUCUUUAAUGAAAAAGCACAAAUAUUUAUUUAUUGUUUGUUCAGGGGGAUCAUUUUUCUCACAUUUUUAUUGGUGCAUUAUAGUUGUACAUAGUAAUGGAUUUGUUGUCAUCUAUUUGUAUGUGCACAAAAUAUAACAAUGAUUUGGCCAGUAUCACUCCCCAGCAUUUCCCCCUCCCUCCCUACCUUCUGGUCUCUUUCUUCUACUCAUCUCUCUUUGGUGUUUAUGGGACCCACCCCACCCUGCCUUUCCUGUUCUUUUUCCUCUCUAGC
rnacentral:lncRNA from 1 species